GAUGAAGAACGCAGCGAAAUGUGAUAAGUAGUGUGAAUUGCAGAAUUCAGUGAAUCAUCGAAUCUUUGAACGCACAUUGCGCCCUUUGGUAUUCCUUAGGGCAUGCCUGUUCGAGCGUCAUUUAAACCUUCAAGCUCAGCUUGGUGUUGGGUGACUGUCCGCUUCACCGCGGACUCGCCUCAAAAUUAUUGGCGGCCGGUACAUUGGCUUCGAGCGCAGCAGAAACGCGAACUCGGGCCCGUCGUAUUGGCUCCCAGAAGCUAUCUUCACAAUUUUGACCUCGGAUCAGGUAGGGAUACCCGCUGAACUUAAGCAUAUCAAUAAGCGGAGGA
rnacentral:misc_RNA from 1 species